ACUGUGGAAGCGGCCCUUAAUGUUCCCUUUUCUAAUAUGCCUCUCUGUUUUGCAGGAUGCCGCGGACGGACCGUGCGGAGGACUCUGGCGACGACACCGACGGUUUGGUUAAGUGGGUUCUCUUGUGUGUGCGUCUGUGUGUGAAUGGCAGGCCUGUCGUAUGAUUGUGUGUGUGUGUGCGUUGGCGUUAUGCCUUCGCACUAUUAUUUUGUUAGGAUGUAUUUUUUUGUGUGUGAACUUUUUGCACGUAAUCUUUUUUUAUACCCAUAGCUAGCGUUUGUUUGUGUGGCAGUGUUCCGGGAGAUGGACGCCGGGGGACAUGGGCUUGGGGAGGCGCACAUGACCUCCUCUGUCCGUGACCUCUUCAGCUGGGGAGACCGUGUGUUGCCCCGCCUGGAGAGACACGUUGAUGGAGGUGGCCGUGUGUGUCACCCUUUGCCUGUAUCCUCUGGCGCCCAGAGGCGCGUAAGAGGAGAGCAUCGGCGCAGCGCGGGAGCAGCACGUCAGGGUGUAGGGUGUUUGUUUAGCUGGUGUAGGGAGCUUAGGGUGUUAGGGUGUUAGGUGUAACAACGGUUGGCUCUUUCACAGAACGGGUGUGAUUCCGUUCUGCGUUUGAGUCUUCCACCUUCAGACGGUCUCCCUCCGAGAUGUCUGAAGUUUUUUUUGUCGGUUUUCUCCGUAGGAGGAAGCCGACUCUAGCUACUCUGGCCUCUCUUCCGGGGGUCAGAGCGGUCGGGCUCUGCUUGGCCAGGCGUUGCCUUUCGCGUUGUCUCCGCCGAAGUUUUGCCAGACUCUUCCGUACGGUUGAGCCUGGCUUUUUUAUUAGGUGGAUCAGGCUGCCUUCUUCCAAGGAGUCUGAUGGGAGUGGAGUCUUUUUUUUGGUGUAUGUCUGUGGGUACUUAGUGGGUAAGGGAGGGUGGGGUAGAAUGGUUGGUGGGCUGGAAGUGGGUUGGGGGAUGAGCCUCCUGGGAUUUGGGUUGUGUCGAGCCUUACCGCCUGGUGUGUUGGGUAACCUUCACGCCAGGGGGGGGGUGCCAAGACUAUAUCCAUCUCCUGGGCAGGGCGAUUCCCCUUUCCCAUGCCAACUGGCCCUCCUCCGUCUGCCUCCCCAAACCCCCGCUAAGUGCUUGUGUGUGUUAUUUUAUUUAGGAUGUCUUUUUUUUCUAUGCCUUUUUCCCGUGUGUUUAUACCCAAUAGCUAGCGUGUGUGUGUGUGUGUGGCAGUCCGGAGGCGCGUGCAGCGAGGACAUCACAUCACGUCACUACGGUAUAUCCACGGUAUUUGGUUUAGUGUGUGCUGUGUGUGUUUGUGUGUGUGAUGGCAGGCCUGCCGUGUGUUUGACCUUUUGCUGUGUGUUGCUGUGUGACUGCUAGGAUUUCAUUUCUAUGCAUGUUUUUUUCCCCAUAACCCCCUUCCUCCCUAGCUCUUUAGCUGUUGUGCCUGGCGAGGCGCUGGGUGGAUGCUGCCGGGUGACCAACGGCGGUGGUGGUGUGCAACGCGGGAGCUGCUGAGGUUUGGGGUAGCACUACGGUGCAGGUUAUGUAGGGUGUGUGAGUUUUUUUUUUGUGUGAGUGUCUUUUUUUUGUGUGGGGUGUUGGCGGGGGACUUAGCUAAUCACUGUGUCAGGAAGGCAUGGGCGUGGCCGUCUGUCCAUCAGGCCGACGGGCGGGUGUGCCACCUGGCAGUCAGGCUAGCAGGUGACAGGCAAGCUAUCUGGCGGUCAGGCUAGUAGUCGGGCCAUCAGAUAGGUAGGCAGGCCACCUUGCGGUCAGGUUGUCGGGCGGGCACCCCACCCUCGGUCAGGUAGGCAGGCAGCAGCGUCUACGCUGAACCGUACGGCC